AGCGAACGCUGGCGGCAGGCCUAACACAUGCAAGUCGAACGAACUCUUCGGAGUUAGUGGCGGACGGUUGAGUAACACUUGGGAACGUGCCUUUUGGUUCGGAAUCACUCAGGGAAACUUGUGCUAAUACCGAAUGUGCCCUUCGGGGGAAAGAUUUAUCGCCAUUAGAGCGGCCCGCGUCUGAUUAGCUAGUUGGUGAGGUAACGGCACCCCAAGGCGACGAUCAGUAGCUGGUCUGAGGGGAUGAACAGCCCCCCGGGGACUGAACCACGGCCCCGACUCCUAGGAGGGGCAGGAGGGGGGAAACUGGGGAAAUGGGCGAAAGCCUGAAGCACCCCUGCCGGGUGAAUGAUGAAGGGUUUAGGAUCGUAAAAUUUUUUCACCGGGGAGGAUAAUGCGUGUACCGGGAAAAGAACCCCAGGCUACUUCCGU
rnacentral:rRNA from 1 species